rnacentral:rRNA from 1 species
GACGAACGCUGGCGGCGUGCUUAACACAUGCAAGUCGAACGGAAAGGCCCUGCUUUUGUGGGGUGCUCGAGUGGCGAACGGGUGAGUAACACGUGAGUAUCCUGCCCUUGACUUUGGGAUAACUUCAGGAAACUGGGGCUAAUACCGGAUAGGAGCUCCUGCUGCAUGGUGGGGGUUGGAAAGUUUCGGCGGUUGGGGAUGGACUCGCGGCUUAUCAGCUUGUUGGUGGGGUAGUGGCUUACCAAGCCUUUGACGGGUAGCCGGCAUGAGAGGGUGAACGGGCACAAUGGGACUGCGAUACGGCCCAGACGCGUAUCGUAGGCAGCAGUGGGGAAUAUGGCGGAAUGGGCGGAAGCCUGAUACAGCAACGCUGCGUGCGGGAAGACGGCCUUCGGGUUAUAAACCGCUUUCGCCGGUGACGAAGAGUGAGUGACGGUAAUGAAUAAAGAAGCACCGGCUAACUACGUG